GGACAACCCACUGUCCUGAACACUUCUUCAUAGACUGGUCACACCCUGUGUAGGAGUCAGCCUCACACAGGUCACAGCACAGACAUGAGGUCAGUCAUUCAUCUUGUGGGGUUGCUGCUGCUCUACCUUACAGGUGCCAGAUGUGACAUUCAGAUGACGCAGUCUCCAGGAUCCCUGUUGGUGUCUCUGGGAGACACUGUCACCAUGACAUGUCAGGCCAGUCAAAACAUUUACGGUUGGUUGGCAUGGUAUCAGCAGAAACCAGGGAAAUCUCCCAAGCUCCUGAUCUAUAGUGCAAGCAGCUUGGCAAAUGGUGUCCCAUCGAGGUUCAGUGGCAGUGGAUCUGGCACACAGUAUUCUCUUAAGAUCAGCGGGCUGCAGCCUGAAGAUGUUGCAGUUUAUUACUGUCAACAGCAUAGCAAUACUCCUCCCACAGUGAUAUAA